ACAACCUGGACUAGUGGAAGGUGUCCCUGCUGGUGCCAAGGCCAGCUGAAGGAUGAUAUUUUCCUUACUGGGACACAUGCCAUGUUUGUCUCCAGUACUUUUCUGGAAGACACCAACAUUUUCUCGUUUAUCCGCGCAGAGGGGGCAGCGCUGAUGCCCCGUUCAGGCUGGGAUCCCGGGGCUGCCUGCCCUCCUGGCCCUGGCAGGGGCGCGGCAGUGCCAUUCGUGUCCCUCUGUCCCCGUCCUGCCCUUCCUGCAGCGCGCUGGGCGUGGGACGGGCGCCGAGAAUGCCGUGGGAGCGCAGGAAGCGCCGAUCAGGGCCAGGCGAGCGGGGAUGGCCGGAGCCAGGACAUUCUGGGAAGCUCCCAAGGUUUGCAUCACACUUCUGCCACAGCUGACUUGGACCCUCUGGAGCUGGAAGCGAGGCUUGGUGCAGGCAGUGGCUCUGAAAAGCAUUCUGAGGAUUUCCAGUAACCAGGUGAUUGAAGCAGGCUGAGCACCCUGACAGCAGGAAAGGCAGCCUUAACCAGCAGGAGGAUGGGGGAGCCCAGCUGAACAUUUGGAUGUAAAAAUCUGGUGAAAUCUCAGCUUUUCCAAAGCUCAGUGUGGGCAGUGUGGUGCUUUUCAUGAGUGUGGAGUGCCCGGCCAGUGUUGAUCCUGUACAAGCUCCAAGGGAAGGAGGAGAACAAUGGAGGGGAGUGAGUGCUGAGGGUAUUUCCAGCACAAUGAUGGGAAAUGCUCCAUCAGCACAGAGCCCUUCUCCCUGCCCUGCUGGAUCCUCUGGCUCCAGAGCCUCUGCCCCACGGGAAUGGUGACCAUGGAAAACUCCUGGAUUGCAGGGACACCGUUGGGAGGCACAGGGAACCUCAGGAUCCUUUCCUGCUGCCGGGGGACUCACACUGAUUCCAACAGCUCCAAAGGACAUGUGGAGCCCAGGAGCAGCUCAGAGCCAGGUGGUGAAAGCCCAGCACCAUUUCCCUGCCUUGAGGGAGGAAGGUCUCUGAACAGACACGUACCAAGUGAAAUGAAGUGAUUUGUGUCCCAGAGGAGUCUGCACUGAUUCACAACAUGAUACCUGCAUGUUUGGAGAGGUUGUUUUGACUUUCUUCCAUGGUUCCUUACCAAAUUCAUGACAGGGUGACUGGGAGGUGAACUCAGCCCUUUGCUUUCUACACCUUGAAAAGGCCCCGGCCCGGCGCUGCCAUGGCAACGGGGUCACGU